AGAUUGAACGCUGGCGGCAGGCCUAACACAUGCAAGUCGAGCGGUAGAGAGGUGCUUGCAUCUCUUGAGAGCGGCGGACGGGUGAGUAAUGCCUAGGAAUCUGCCUAGUGGUGGGGGAUAACGUUCGGAAACGGACGCUAAUACCGCAUACGUCCUACGGGAGAAAGCGGGGGACCUUCGGGCCCCGCGCCAUUAGAUGAGCCUAGGUCGGAUUAGCUAGUUGGUGAGGUAAUGGCUCACCAAGGCGACGAUCCGUAACUGGUCUGAGAGGAUGAUCAGUCACACUGGAACUGAGACACGGUCCAGACUCCUACGGGAGCAGCAGUGGGAAUAUUGGACAAUGGGACGAAAGCCUGAUCCAGCCAUGCCGCGUGUGUGAAGAAGGUCUUCGGAUUGAAAGCAACUUUAAGUGGAGGAAGGUUGUAACCUAAUACGUUGCAAUUUGACGUUACCGACAGAAUAAGCACCGGCUAACUCGUGCCAGCAGCCGAGUAA
rnacentral:rRNA from 1 species